GACGAACGCUGGCGGCGUGCUUAACACAUGCAAGUCGAACGGAAAGGCCCUGCUUUUGUGGGGUGCUCGAGUGGCGAACGGGUGAGUAACACGUGAGUAACCUGCCCUUGACUUUGGGAUAACUUCAGGAAACUGGGGCUAAUACCGGAUAGGAGCUCCUGCUGCAUGGUGGGGGUUGGAAAGUUUCGGCGGUUGGGGAUGGACUCGCGGCUUAUCAGCUUGUUGGUGGGGUAGUGGCUUACCAAGGCUUUGACGGGUAGCCGGCCUGAGAGGGUGACCGGCCACAUUGGGACUGAGAUACGGCCCAGACUCCUACGGGAGGCAGCAGUGGGGAAUAUUGCACAAUGGGCGGAAGCCUGAUGCAGCAACGCCGCGUGCGGGAUGACGGCCUUCGGGUUGUAAACCGCUUUCGCCUGUGACGAAGCGUGAGUGACGGUAAUGGGUAAAGAAGCACCGGCUAACUACGUGCCAGCAGCCGCGGUGAUACGUAGGGUGCGAGCGUUGUCCGGAUUUAUUGGGCGUAAAGGGCUCGUAGGUGGUUGAUCGCGUCGGAAGUGUAAUCUUGGGGCUUAACCCUGAGCGUGCUUUCGAUACGGGUUGACUUGAGGAAGGUAGGGGAGAAUGGAAUUCCUGGUGGAGCGGUGGAAUGCGCAGAUAUCAGGAGGAACACCAGUGGCGAAGGCGGUUCUCUGGGCCUUUCCUGACGCUGAGGAGCAAAAGCGUGGGGAGCGAACAGGCUUAGAUACCCUGGUAGUCCACGCUGUAAACGGUGGGUACUAGGUGUGGGGUCCAUUCCACGGGUUCCGUGCCGUAGCUAACGCUUUAAGUACCCCGCCUGGGGAGUACGGCCGCAAGGCUAAAACUCAAAGGAAUUGACGGGGCCCCGCACAAGCGGCGGAGCAUGCGGAUUAAUUCGAUGCAACGCGUAGAACCUUACCUGGGUUUGACAUGGAUCGGGAGUGCUCAGAGAUGGGUGUGCCUCUUUUGGGGUCGGUUCACAGGUGGUGCAUGGCUGUCGUCAGCUCGUGUCGUGAGAUGUUGGGUUAAGUCCCGCAACGAGCGCAACCCUUGUUCACUGUUGCCAGCACGUUAUGGUGGGGACUCAGUGGAGACCGCCGGGGUCAACUCGGAGGAAGGUGGGGAUGACGUCAAGUCAUCAUGCCCCUUAUGUCCAGGGCUUCACGCAUGCUACAAUGGCUGGUACAGAGAGUGGCGAGCCUGUGAGGGUGAGCGAAUCUCGGAAAGCCGGUCUCAGUUCGGAUUGGGGUCUGCAACUCGACCUCAUGAAGUCGGAGUCGCUAGUAAUCGCAGAUCAGCAACGCUGCGGUGAAUACGUUCCCGGGGCU
rnacentral:rRNA from 1 species